rnacentral:rRNA from 1 species
CUGACAAGGAUUCCCCUAGUAACGGCGAGUGAAGCGGGAAGAGCUCAAAUUUGUAAUCUGGCGGUCUACGGCCGUCCGAGUUGUAAUCUGGAGAAGCGUUUUCGGCGCCGGUCCGCGUACAAGUCCCCUGGAACGGGGCAUCGCAGAGGGUGAGAAUCCCGUCUUUGACGCGGUUCACCGGUGCCGUGCGAUGCGCUCUCGAAGAGUCGAGUUGUUUGGGAAUGCAGCUCAAAACGGGUGGUAAAUUCCAUCUAAAGCUAAAUACUGGCGAAAGACCGAUAGCGAACAAGUACCGUGAGGGAAAGAUGAAAAGCACUUUGGAAAGAGAGUCAAACAGUACGUGAAAUUGUUGAAAGGAAACGCUUGAAGUCAGUCGCGUCUCUCGGGACUCAGCCGCGACCUCUGAGUCGGGUGCAUUUCCCGAGUCUGGACGGGCCAGCAUCGGUUUCGACCGUCGUAAAAAGGCACGAGGAAUGUGGCACCUCGGGUGUGUUAUAGCCUCGCGUCGUAUGCGACGGACGGGACCGAGGAACGCAGCGCGCCCCUCGCGGGGCCGGGGUUCGCCCACGUAACGCGCUUAGGAUGCUGGCGUAAUGGCUUUAAGCGACCCGUCUU